AUGCACACGCAGUCACACCGGGGCUGGAAGGCUUCGGGUAUCUCUAUCAACUCUCCACCUUAUUUCCUUGAAUACGAGACAGGGGCUCUUCAUGAACCAGGAACUAGGCUGGUGGCCACUGUGGAGCCGCGAAGCGACCUGGUGCUGCUCAAGGAGCAUCAGGCCAUCUUGCCUGUGUCUGUAGAUGAGUAUCAAGUGGGGCAGCUGUAUUCUGUGGUUGAAGCAAGUGAAAAUGAAACUGGUGGUGGGGAAGGUGUGGAGGUCCUGGUGAAUGAGCCCUAUGAGAAGGACGAUGGAGAGAAAGGCCAGUACAUACACAAGGUCUACCACUUACAGAGUAAAGUACUCACAUUGUUCAAAUGCUGGCCCUAGAAGGCAUCCUGAAUAUACACAAGAAAACCUGGAAUGACCUUGGAACCAGAAGAAUGUGCAUAAAGCCUGGGGCAUGGAAACAUGUAGAGAAAUAUAUAUCAUCAAAGCCAAGUACUUAUCAAGGGUUACAAGGCAGAGGAAGACCCAGCAAAACUUAAAUCUAUCAAAACAGGACGAGGACCACUGGACCCAAAUCGGAAGCAAGAACUUGUCAAUCGGAAAGACUGCCCAUAUAUGUGUGCAUACAAACUAGUUACUGUCAAGUUCAAGUGGUGGGGCUUGCAGAACAAAGUGGAAAACUUUAUACAUAAGCAAGAGAAGCGUUUGUUUACAAACUUCCACAGGCAGCUGUUCUGUUGGUUCAAUAAAUGGGUUGAUCUGUCUAUGGAUCAAUGAAUGGGUUGAUCUGACUAUGGAUGACAUUCGGAGGAUGGAAGAAGAGACAAAAGGACCCAGUGACAGGACCGACAGCAGAUGA